rnacentral:rRNA from 1 species
GUAGGUGGCGAGCGUUGUCCGGAAUUAUUGGGCGUAAAGCGCGCGCAGGCGGUUCUUUAAGUCUGAUGUGAAAGCCCACGGCUCAACCGUGGAGGGUCAUUGGAAACUGGAGAACUUGAGUACAGAAGAGGAAAGCGGAAUUCCACGUGUAGCGGUGAAAUGCGUAGAGAUGUGGAGGAACACCAGUGGCGAAGGCGGCUUUCUGGUCUGUAACUGACGCUGAGGCGCGAAAGCGUGGGGAGCAAACAGGAUUAGAUACCCUGGUAGUCCACGCCGUAAACGAUGAGUGCUAAGUGUUAGGGGGGUUUCCGCCCCCCUUAGUGCUGCAGCUAACGCAUUAAGCACUCCGCCUGGGAGUACGGCCGCAAGGCUG